rnacentral:tRNA from 1 species
GCCUUGGUAGCUCAGUCGGUAGAGCAGGGGACUGAAAAUCCCCGUGUCGGUGGUUCGAUUCCGCCCUAAGGCACCA